GCAAACUUGGUCAUUUAGAGGAAGUAAAAGUCGUAACAAGGUUUCCGUAGGUGAACCUGCGGAAGGAUCAUUACCGAGUGGCUUGGCGAUCUGAACCCAAAGCGGGUCGGAGCAGCCGGUUACCCGACCUUUAUGUCAUCAGCACCGGCCUUUUGUUGGAGACGUCAUCUGGGUGACCGGAGACGAGGACGACGAGGACGGAAGGUAUAUUUCGGCGGAGGUGGUAGGAGCCGCUCGUUUGGGUGAACGUGGUCUCUCGGGACGGCGAUGCCUUUGAACGCAGCUGGCCUGCCCGCCGCCGGCGGUAUUUCCCACUCUUUUUUGGAGGAAGCGUGAAGUCUGAAGCAACUUUUGUACGAAUGAAAAAGCAAAACUUUCAACAACGGAUCUCUUGGCUCUGGCAUCGAUGAAGAACGCAGC
rnacentral:misc_RNA from 1 species